UAUCUCGGCUCUUGCAUCGAUGAAGAACGUAGCGAAAUGCGAUACUUGGUGUGAAUUGCAGAAUCCCGUGAACCAUCGAGUCUUUGAACGCAAGUUGCGCCUGAAGCCAUUAGGUUGAAGGCACGUCUGCCUGGGCGUCACGCAUUGCGUCACCCACUCCCCCGUGCCCGAGCGGGCAU
rnacentral:rRNA from 1 species